GAUGAACGCUGGCGGCGUGCCUAAUACAUGCAAGUCGAACGGACCUUGCUUUAACGGAUUGGAGUACUUGUACAAAGAGAAGAUAGAGCGCUGGUUAGUGGCGAACGGGUGAGUAACACGUAGGUAACCUGGCAAUAAGACGAGGACAACUAUUGGAAACGAUAGCUAAUACUGGAUGUGGUGUGAGGAAGGCAUCUUCUUCAUAUUAAAGGAGCUACGGCUUCACUUAUUGAUGGACCUGCGGCGCAUUAGCUAGUUGGUAAGGUAGAGGCUUACCAAGGCAAUGAUGCGUAGCCGAUCUGAGAGGAUAAACGGCCACACUGGGACUGAGAUACGGCCCAGACUCCUACGGGAGGCAGCAGUAGGGAAUUUUCCACAAUGGACGGAAGUCUGAUGGAGCAACGCCGCGUGAGUGAAGAAGGUUUUCGGAUCGUAAAGCUCUGUUGUUAGAGAAGAACAAGUGAGAGAGUAACUGCUCUCACCUUGACGGUAUCUAACCAGAAAGCCACGGCUAACUACGUGCCAGCCGCCGCGGUAACAC
rnacentral:rRNA from 1 species